UUCCAUCUUUUUUGCCUUGAGAAGCUUUUAAGUGAUCUAGAGAAUGAUCGUUUCGCCGCGCAGCGCCGCCUAGUGCACAGACGUGCUGCUGCAUCCAGGGACAGCUGCGACACUUGGCGCGGAGGGAUGAGAAGCCUUUCCCGGGUAGCUCAGAUCUUGAGAGAAAGAAACUUCUAUUUACAGCUUUCCCUCUCCAACACGUGUAAAUCAAAGCACAAUCCUUCACCUAGUUGAAGAGCAGCAGGCUCCAGACAACGUAUUACAGUGAUACCU